rnacentral:tRNA from 1 species
GCCCUAGUAGCUCAAUUGGUAGAGCAUCGUUCUCGUAAAACGAAGGUUGUGGGUUCAAAUCCCUUCUAGGGCU